GCCCAGAUGGGAUUAGCUUGUUGGUGAGGUAACGGCUCACCAAGGCGACGAUCCCUAGCUGGUCUGAGAGGAUGACCAGCCACACUGGAACUGAGACACGGUCCAGACUCCUACGGGAGGCAGCAGUGGGGAAUAUUGCACAAUGGGCGCAAGCCUGAUGCAGCCAUGCCGCGUGUAUGAAGAAGGCCUUCGGGUUGUAAAGUACUUUCAGCGGGGAGGAAGGUGUUGUGGUUAAUAACCGCAGCAAUUGACGUUACCCGCAGAAGAAGCACCGGCUAACUCCGUGCCAGCAGCCGCGGUAAUACGGAGGGUGCAAGCGUUAAUCGGAAUUACUGGGCGUAAAGCGCACGCAGGCGGUCUGUCAAGUCGGAUGUGAAAUCCCCGGGCUCAACCUGGGAACUGCAUUCGAAACUGGCAGGCUUGAGUCUUGUAGAGGGGGGUAGAAUUCCAGGUGUAGCGGUGAAAUGCGUAGAGAUCUGGAGGAAUACCGGUGGCGAAGGCGGCCCCCUGGACAAAGACUGACGCUCAGGUGCGAAAGCGUGGGGAGCAAACAGGAUUAGA
rnacentral:rRNA from 1 species